rnacentral:lncRNA from 10 species
GGAGAAGGCAGGGUAGAGGGGGGCCCUGGAGAAGGCAGGGUAGAGGCGGGCCCUGGAGAAGGGUGCGGCUCCCUAGGGAGAGCAUUGGGUGGCGCAGGAGUCGAGGAGCAAAAACCAACCCACCCAUGACUCACAGGGCCCUGGAAGCAGAACGAGGCGCCCCAACCCAGACACUUGGGCUGCAUUGGAGAGGACAGAGUUGCCGUCCUGACCUGCUGUGAGCAGUGUGGCUGUGGCAAGAGACAGAUCAGCUCUGGGGGGAAGCCUCAAGCGAUGAAGCCAGGUCCCAGCACAGUGCAGCACGUCGGAGACCCUGCGGCACGUCGGAGACCCUGCAGAAGGGCCUAUUCAGUGAGUUCUCAAGGUGCUGUUCUCAUGAUGGAGGUGGGAAGAUGGAAGCUCAGGGAGUUUAAAUGAGCAUUCUAAGGUUUAGUAAAUGCUAAAGACCAGACACAAAGCCAGGUCCUCUGAUCCCAACAGCAACACUUUUUCCAGUGGAGGAGAAUCCAGGAAGAGCUACAAUCAUUCUGAUGCUGAAACUGCGCUUUUCAGCUCCCUCGGUCACUUGAAGACAUGAUCUUUCCCACCGUGGCUCCUGGCUUCUCCCUCCAUUCCAGCUUGAACACUCUACAUACUCGAGCACUAAUCACACAGCCAACAUUGGGACUUUCUGACGGGGGGUGCCAUGGCAGCCUGUUGCUCUGAGAGCUGGUUCACACCUGGGCUGAGAUGUGGAUUCCUCCCCUUUGCAGGUGGAGACUGGGACUGCCAUGGGCCUCCCCAGCUGGCCCCCUUCGGCAGCAAGUAGCAGCCCCAUGGAGGGAUGCCAGCAUGCCCUGGUGCCUUGCAGUGCUCACACUCUCCACAUAUGCAUGUCACGAAUGAGAGAGGGCUGGGCAACACUCUCUGCCCCACACCCGUACCCAGACCACAUGCAUCCUCUCUCCUCCUCCCCGGAACAGCUCCCGCUUUGAGAAAGCUUUUCCUAAACAGGUCGUAAGGAGUUUUCCCGGUUGUCUCUCUGGCACCCAGGCUUUCUUAACAAAACCUCCCCAUUCACUUAUCUUCUGUCCCGCAGGGUCGCUGGUGGACGCUCCCCUGCACUCAAGUCACCAAAUCCCACAGAGGGUUGGAGAAGAGGGGGCGGCUUUGCAGUGAGACAGACCUGCGUUCGAAUUCCAGCUUUGGUUCAAAUGACGAGCUGUGUGCCCUGGGGCAAGUCAUUUGUUUAGUUUUUGUUCAUCAACUUCCUCCUCUGUAAAAUGAGAAUGGACUUGAGUAAAAACAUGCCUGUGAAGUAUUUAGCAAAGAGCCGGCACAGGGUAAUCACUCACUGCAUAGUUACUACUGUCCUGGUCAUUGUCAUGACAAUUACCAGUCACUCUCUGUUUCCUUCCUGACUUUAGACGGCACAUCUAAAAGCCCCCACGACAACAUCUGACACAACGUAACGAGAUUGUAGCGCUGUCUAAGAAACAACCCUGCAAAGCAGCCACAAACUAGGCUCUCAUCCCGACGAUUUGAGCGCCCUGGUUACAUGGAAGUUUAAUUUCUUCCUGGCUAAAUCUAGAACGUGGGAAAUUCUGCAGAAAUAAAUGACCUAGUUUCUUGAACAGAAUAAACUGCAUGGGAAGAGGGGAAUGCAGGUGUGACAGGUGUAAAGAAAGCAGCCGGUGUGUGUAGGCCCUGGAUAAAACCUGAUUGAAACACAGUGACUGUAAGAAGGUCCCUCUCCCCACUUUUUUGAAAACCUCAAGAAAUUUGAGCAUAAGCCAAGUAUUAGUUUAAUUGUUAGAAAUCUUGUUAGAUAUAAUUGUAGAAGUGCAGUUAUGGGCUAAAUAUGUUUAUUUAUUAAAAAUACAUGAGGAAGUACUUUCAGGUAAAAUUGUAAUGCCUGGAAUUUGCUAGAAAAUCUCUGAGGAGAGAUCUGAGGGUGGGGAGAUGAAAGAAGCCAGGCAUGAGCCGGGGGAGGUACAGAGGCUGAGGCUGAACACCCUUCACUCUUCUUUCUACUCUCAUGUAAUGUGGAUGUUUCUAUAAUGAAGUAAGUAUAAAAGUCAACAAAACCUCCCACUAACCUAACUGUGUCCGGGUUUCCGAGGUUCCCGGUUUCAGCUCAGCUGCCUGUGUUCUGGGGAGGGACUCCUCUCCAGCUGAGGGAUCCGCGGGGACUGGCUCCCUCACACACACACAGCAGCACCUGCUGCCCGGGCACUCAGGCCUCUGCCUUACACCCUCUCUACCACGCUAGACACGCAGGACCCUGGGCCAGUGACCUAACCCCUCUGCACCUCGGAGCCUCCGUGUCAAACUGGGCUUGGGGAUAUCAAGCCUCUAGGCUUGUGUCUGCUGCAUAAGAAGCCCUCCAAAAGCAUUGCUCCACCCCUCUCUCGGGCUCUGUUCUCUCCUGGUCUAUCUAAACCUCAGAUGGCUACAGAAGCCCAGCACUCUGUGAGCCUGUCAGGGGAGCUGAUGGCCCCAGUGAUGCAGGCCUGGCAGUCUGGGGUGAGGAAGACAGCUCCAAGCCCAGUCACCUCUCCCUUCCUGUGCCUAUCUGUGAACUAGAGCUUCAAGCAGCUCCAAAUAAACUCGAGAGCUCCUGGCUAUGCAACAUUGAUAUCUUGGCCUCGAAGCGGGAAAUCUGAGCCAACUUAAUAUCUUCCUUGAAUAAUCUGCUAAUUUUGAUGCCAGGAGCACUUCACCAGCUGUCGAUAGCUCCAGUGAGAAAUGAACCAGAAGAGACACGUUUGACCUGCUGUGGAUUCAGAUCCAACCACACGUGUGGGACUUGGGAGACAGGCACGUGGGUGUGCACGUUGUCAGCAGGGGCUGGCUUCAGACUGAGGCUGAACACAUACAGGAGCCCAGACCAGGUGGCCUUGGCCCUUGUAGGCGAUGGUGAGAAUACUGAUUUGUAUUAAGAGGAAUGAAAGAUUUGGAGAGGAAGCAAUUCUGAUUUUCACCAUCAAAUGACAAGAACUGAUCUUCUGCCUUUAAGUAGUUAUAAUUAGGUCAUUGCAAAAUUAACAAAAUUAAUAAGCUUAUAUCUGGGAGACCUCUUAAGACAGCAGUGUCCAGCUGGGUAAUGGCACGGAUUAUGCCCACACAGCCUGGCCACUCUGUUGGGGGAGCAGCCCCCGCUGGAGCAGCCUAGGGAGAGGAUGCAGGCCUUCCCCAUCAGCUCAGCAGCUUAUGGCUCAGUGGGUUUAGAUGCUGGUAGUAAGCUCCUCACCCUCUUGCCCAAUGUCUACAAAGGGUUGUUUUGUUCAUGAUGUCCAGAGGUCUAGUUGCUCAUGACAGGUGGAUAAGUCCAGUGACUCCACUGGGGCCUGAGGCAGAAUUGUUGCGGCACCUCCUCGUUUCUCCCGUUCCCUCCCCUAUCCCAGGCAGGUCCUGGCUAAAGACGUCCUUGGCCAGCUGGGUGUCAGGGGUAGGAUCUUGCCCCUCAACUCCUGGCCACAGGGGGACUUUCUCCUUAUCUACAGCCCAGGCCAAUAGUCUCUUUCUCUGUCCUUAAGGGAUUUAGGGAAUAGCCGGUCCUCUCUCACCCUCGAAUGGAUCACAUGUUAUUGAUCUCAUGUGUCACCACCCAGGGUAGGUUUCUGUGGCCUGCAUCCAACUCCAGGCAGGCGCUGCUCCUCGUCUCCCAGGCACCACAGGCAUUUUCCUCCGUGUGCCCUCUCAGAGGCUGUGGUGGUGUGUGUGGAAAGAGCCUGCACCCCUUCUGUGUCAACUUCAUCACCAAUUAAGUAAAGCUUGGCAUCCUCAGAGGAAAGAUUUUAUUAUAAAUUCUUAACAUAUUUAGAAAUAUCAGCAUAAUCAUUAUAAUGCAUUAUUCAGUUAGUUAAAUGUGCUUUAAAAAAAAACAUGAAAUAUAUCUUCAUUGUACAGGCAUCUGUUGUUUCUUGCAAACGAUUAUCUGUCACUGAAUCAUCAAUUUUUUAUUUUAUUGUGUGUCUAAGGCUAUUUGUUCUAAUUAAGGCGCAUGCAUGGUGCCAAGCAGGCUUGCCUGACUGUGGAAGGGGCUCCAGUCCUGCUUUGUCUAACAGUCCUGAAUGUGCUGGAUGGGCAACCCCAGGA